rnacentral:rRNA from 1 species
UACGGGGGGGGUAAGCGUUGUUCGGAAUUACUGGGCGCAAAGGGCUCGUAGGCGGCCAACUAAGUCAGACGUGAAAUCCCUCAGCUUAACUGGGGAACUGCGUCUGAUACUGGAUGGCUUGGAUUCGGGAGAGGGAUGCGGAACUCCAGGUGUAGCGGUGAAAUGCGUAGAUAUCUGGAGGAACACCGGUGGCGAAGGCGGCAUCCUGGACCGAUAUUGACGCUGAGGAGCGAAAGCCAGGGGAGCAAACGGG